CCUCUAUUUAGCGCCCAUUCUCUAUUAAUAAAAUCAUUCUCAAUUUAUGACGAAAUAUGAACACAAACGUUCUAUGUAUAACGUUCACUGAUACCGCCGCGUAUAACGUUCACCGAUGGUAUCAACCGAGUUGUUAAAAUACAGGAAGCACCAUAGCCAUAUGGUUUUUCCCGACCCAUGCUACUAACUUGAUGAAGGGCAGAAUAAUAAAUUGGAGCUUAAUCCUUUCC